rnacentral:rRNA from 1 species
AUUGAACGCUGGCGGCAUGCUUUACACAUGCAAGUCGAACGGCAGCGCGGGCUUCGGCCUGGCUGCGAGUGGCGAACGGGUGAGUAAUGCAUCGGAACGUGCCCAGUAGUGGGGGAUAGCCCGGCGAAAGCCGGAUUAAUACCUCAUACGACCUGAGGUCGAAAGCGGGGGUCCGAAAGGCCUCGCGCGAUUGGAGCGGCCGUGGGCGGAUUCGCUAGUUGGUGGGGUAAAGGCUUACCAAGGCGACGAUCGGUAGCUGGCCUGAGAGGAGGACCGGCCAAAUGGGAACGGAGAAACGGCCCAGACUCCUACGGGAGGCAGCAGUGGGGAAUUUUGGACAAUGGGGGAAACCCUGAUGCAGAAAGGCGGGGUGCGGGAGGCGGGCCUUGGGGUGGUAAGCUGCGUUUGUUCGGGAGGAAGUCCUUUGGGCUAAUACCGCGGGGGGAUGACGGUACCGGAAGAAAAAGCAACGGCUAACUACGUG